rnacentral:lncRNA from 1 species
GAAACAAGAAGAGAACAUCUUCCAUCGCCCAAUCAUCGGUUUCACCAGCCUGAACUCAUCAAGCUCCUUGAGAUGCCCUGGCCCUGAUGAAAUCGAUCACACGCUCAGCCUGACAGCGUCUGGAUGAUGGUGUUGUGCCACGGGUCAGACAGGUGCUGCAGCAGGUUGUCGAAGGGCCCCUUCUGCGUCACGUUGUGCUGCACCAGGAACCCCAAGAACGCCAGCAUCGCCAGCCUCCCUGCAACAACAACAUCAACAAAAAUUCAGAACAAUGGCGUCGUUUCAUUGUAUGCUGCUCUUCUUUUCUUCUGAUAUAUUGAUAGAAUCGUACCGUUGGCGAGCUCCUUCUCCUUGGCCUCGAGGGUGGGCUCGAAGUUGAGGGGGUUGAAGACGCUGCCGGGGUAGCCGCACUCGUGCGGCGGGAGGCUGUAGCUCUUGAAGAUGGGGUCCUGGUUGACGCAGCCAGGGUUCUUGAUGUCCUGCCACCGCCGGAUCUCCACGUAGUGGAACAGGAUGAACUCGAUGACGAACAGCGUCGACGACGACGCGAAGUAGGUGGCCUUGCCGGCGUCGUACCACUGCGGCGCGUCGAUCAACCCGAUCUUCGUCAGCACCUCAGGCAGCAGCAUCCCGGCCACCCCCAGCAUCGCCCACCGCCCGUUCACCAGCUCCGCCUGCACGAACCACCGCAGGUUCUCCGGGUCCUCCGCCAGACCCAACGGGUCGAACCCGUUAUCGCCUGGCAAGCUGUACACACCCGUUUAACUAUCGUGUUAGUAGUUUUUUUAUGAUGCUCUCUACUGGUAGUAGAAAUAUAUUUUUUUUAUGUGUGUGCUCACCUGCCGUUGAGGUAGGUGGGAGAAGGGAGGCCGGGGAGCCACUCUCCCUUGGCCUCCGCCCGAACAUUACGCCUCGUAGUCGGUGCGCGGGCGAGGCGGGUGGAGGAUUGCCCUAGGAAGGUAGACUUGAGCGACGCCGACGAGCGGAGGGCUGCGACCGGGGUGCGGGCGGUGACGGACGCCAUGGCUUAGCUUCCCCGGCUUAGAGAGGGGAGGAAGCGAAGCGGGUGUAGUCACAAGGGUACGUUUUGGCCGGCACGGAGCAAAGGCGUGGCUUGUAUUAAACUGUCCGGGAGUGGCCGGCGCUGCCAGGUGUCCACGGCGGCGAGGGCGGCGACGGACGGCGGAGAUCGGUGGUGGGGGUGGAUCGGACGGCCAGGAUGCGUUGUUGGGUGGGUGUGGCCAAUGGGAGGCGUCGCCUCUUAUCCAGCGUUAUCCGGAUGCCGGGAUACGGGGGAAUCAAAGGGAGGGUUUCUAUUGGAUGGAGGUCUCAGCUGUGGCUGGUUGCUGCUGCCACGUCGGACGGGUGAGAUGGUUGGUGCAGAUCGCUCGGAGCCUCGGAUUUUUAUGUUGCUGGAUCACUCAACUCACGUAUAUGUACUUCAGGUUUUGGAGCAGUGAAAAAAAAUAUCUGGGAAUUGGAUAAUUGUAAUGUUUUUUACUAGAGCAGCAACAAGGGAAUUGGAUAGUUGUGAUGUUUACUGCAAUGUUUGUUACUAGAGCAGCGAUGUUUACUGGAGCAAAGGCAGUAUAGCCAUGGCUGACUCUGAAAUCGGAAUCACGUAAUUAGUAGAAACCUUGACGUAAGAGUUUGUUUCCAAUCUUUCCAUGAUCCAAAUAGCUCAUGAACAAUCGUAAUUCAUGUCCUGAAUGGGGUUUCAUCUGCGCAGAUUUGGAGGGGUUAUUAUUUGCAACCAACCAGCAGAUUUGCCGGGGUUCUUAUUUGCAAUCAUCCAGGUAACAACCCCCCCCCCCCCCCCCCCCGGGGGGCGCCCCACACAAAAAAAAAGCAGCACAUAGGGUACAGCACCUGCAUAAAAUUCCAGCGGAACACUUAUCUACACCGAAAAAAUAUAGGGCACGAAGAAAAAUUUCAGUUUCGAGCUGAACAAUACCAGGCAUGCUAAGGAUGGGAAUUUCUAAUUGCCGGACAGUUUACAGACAGCGACUGACGCAGAGGCACAUUUGCGACAGGGAGCUCACUGAGUUACAAUAUGAAUAGCUGCAUAGACGAGUUACAACCCAAAAUUUGAAGAGAAGAUACCCAGACCCGAGUAUUGCAGGCAACAUUUGCAAUUGCUCUAAUUGCUUGUACAUCGGAUAAAGAUAGAUUAUUUCGGGAAAUACAUUGGUUGGCCAGCCGGUGGAGCAUGGUGUGGAGCAGCUGGGGGUACACCAUACUGUGGCAUCUGAUGUGAGGCCUGGAACGAUACUGGCAGUGCUCCGGAACUGGAUCCAAUUCCUGGAUAGUGUGGAACUGAUCCUGGCAUCAUUGGUUGGGUUGGGUAUGCAGACGAUGCCGAUCCAAAAGCACCUGCCUGCAUGUUUGGAUUCCAAGCUGGCACUUGUCCAACAGGAGUCGCUGCCGCAGUGCUGCCAUAAAAGGAAGCACUGGGUGCGGUGUUUUGCCAUGCCACUCCUGGAGUGCUAGGACCUGGGGCUUGCGCUGCAGCUUGCAUUUGUGCACUAGGAUCUGAUGAAACAGUGUAGUCUCUGCUUCUCUCAUCAUGUGCCUGAAUGUAAAAAAAUAGAACUCCAUUAGGAGGAAAAAUGCAGAAGGAAGCUGUAGGAGAAAAAAGAAAUAUGUUCAGAAAGCGUACUUUGUCAAAUUGAAUGAAUGAUAUAUUAUUCUGCUUUCAUGUAGCAGUACGCUAUUUUCUAAAUGAGUUACAUUCACUAUUCAUUAGUCAACAAUUAGUCAACUGAUAUAUGUACUUCAAUAUUUAUUAAUUUACACAGCCUGAAACUAUCAUUUAUACCUUUACAUUGAGAUCAGUAUGACGAGAGUAUGACAGAUGAAGCUUACAGUAACCUCCAUCAUAUAUGCAGUGCCCUUCCAAAGCUUGUUUAGCAACUGCUGCCGUUGUGAUGUCUGCAAUAAAACAGUUUUUUCAAUUAUAAGAUAACUCCAAUAAACUAAAAUGGUAUUGCAAUGCAUGAUUAGAUCAUUGAAAAGCUGAAGUAAAAUAGAUUCCAUUGGCAAAUGAGGAAUGCAUUUGUAGUGCUUGUGAUCGAGGAAACAAAGUGAACAGCAAAACUCUUUCCGUUUGAUGAAGUAAUAUUUUUUGUCCCAAGUUACACAAACUAGUGAAGUCAUUUCUGGAGGAUCAGAGAUUUGAUAAAACCAAAUUCCAAAUAUUGUAAUAUGAGGUGCCACUAUGAAGUCACACUUAGGUAUAGAUAUAGCCAUAGAAAUUGACCACACAUCAAAUGCCACGAUGGCUUUUGGACUGCAGAUGCAAGACAGGUCUUUGUUGACAUGGUGAACGCUAAUCUUACUCAAAAGUGCAAGGAUUGGAAACAAUUAAGAUAGGUAUUAUCUAAUGCAGAGUACCAGGAGGAAAAUAUUGAUGCAGUGAUGACAGAAAGACCUCAGAAGCAAACCUCUACUAAGAAAGAGAAUAUGCUUACACAGAAGGUAAAAAUGAUCAAGAAAUUACUAAAGGCAACUUUAUAGCUGUGGAUAGUUGCAGAUGUCCAUUCUAAGCCUUCACGAACUCCGACACCCCUCUGCUGAAGUUUCCAGGUUUAGAAACUUAUGAUGCAUAAACAAAUAUGUAGCUCAAUAGUCAGCAUGGCAUCACAGGUUACACGGUUUAUUAUCAUCUAUGAGAUGGCUUAUCAGGAACUAACUAUAGUACUAUACGAUGAAUGAACAAAUAUCACACCCAAGUGCAUUCAGGUUAUGUACAUCCAACAAAACAAGGUGCAAAAAAUCCUGUGAGCUGCAUGCUAGUUGGAAAAUACCUGGAUAUUGAAUUAAGGCCUGCAUUCCACCAUUCUUCUCAAACAUUGCAAUCUUUUGAACAGUACCAAAAGCAGAGAACACCUGAAAUUAUCUCAUAACAUGAUUAUAUACUAAUUUUGUCCUUAUUUUAGAUAAAACACCUGGAGUCAGUAAGAAUAAAAUAUACUUACAGUAUGUAGAACAUCCACCGUCACAGCAUACUGCAUGUUCUCUAUUGAAGCCAAAAGCACAUUGCUCUCAGGCUCCUUUAUCUUCCCAUCAGGGCCUAAAGUGGGCUGCAUAACCUCCACUGUAAGGAAGGAGAGAAAGAACACAACGAAUAGUAUGAAAUGUUAAAGCAUACCUGUGCGAUUCCCUCGAUUGCUGUUGGAUUCACAGGAAGAUAUGGAUUCGUGUAAUCCCUGUAACCAAACAGUUAGUGAUGUGAAUUUGAGUAUUGUCUCAUCAAGCAUAUGCUAAUGGAGGUUAAAAUCAAAUUUAAACAUCGCCAGCUUCCCUCUUUACCUGCUACGAUGUGAUUGAAACUUGAUAUUCAAAUCCUUGUGCGCAGAAAAGGUUAUGCGCAGGUGACAGGUGGGGACAUGUUCAGGAAGUAAAUAUCUGCAUGACUUGACAUUUCAGUAAUGCUGCAUCGGAGGUUUGUAGCGCAUAAUAAUAAUAGUUAUAAAAUGAAGUGCUACCUCGGGAUGCUUCUUCCAUCCAACGAAUUUUUUGCUUCUAGUGCAGUUGGAGCAUCAGUAUAUUGGAUAAGUGCCUACGAAAAUUCCAGCUGAUAAGCUGAACUUACAAGAAUUAUAGUAGCAGCUCAAUAUAAGAACUAUCUUACCUGGAAACCAGCAGCCUUCUCAAAGGUUGCUAUCUUGUGGACAAACCCAAAUGCGGAAAAUACCUAAAACAUUCACAAACCAUUGCGACAAAAGAUGAGGAUACAAGUCCACUUUCGAGUUUCGACUAAUCAGUCGAAGAGCACAUGCAAGAUUAUGCAGAAAGAGAAGGACAUGGAGCAUAGAACUGAAUUGUACUGAAGUAAUGAACUUGGAUGCUAUUAUUAUAUUAGUGAACAUGCUAUGCUGACAAGUCAUAUGAUGCAGGAUGACAAAUUGAAGAAGUAAUAAACCUGGUAGAAGAAAGAGGAGAUUUUGAAUUUCCCUUGACAUGGAGGUGCCAUUUAAGUAUCUUAACUGCCAUACAAUGUAUGUGAAAUAGGCAGUCUGCAGUGCUUUUAAAGACUACGUGAAUCAUUAAGUUUUUCGCCAGGAAUCAGUAUGCAUGUCCUAAAGUCCAUGGAUUAACAUUGUCUAGCAAGCAUAACAAAUCAAUAAUAGUGUGCAUUUAGUAAUUAGUUUACAUCAAGCCGGUUUUAUUUUGAUAAAGAUAUGUCCCGAUAAAAAAAAGAUCACUGUAUCAUAGCAACAGAGGCCCAAGUCAAUUUUGAAAUAUAGGCAAUAUAAGUUUAUUCCAACCAAGCUGUUAGCUAAGUGAAGUGCAUCACAUGUAAAACAUGCAUACUUACCAAAUGAAUGACAUCUAUGCUAAUAUCAUUAGGCUGGACACCUUCAAAAGUGACAAGAAGAACAUUGCCAGAGGAAUCACCAGUUCCUUUAUUGUUGGUAAUUUCUUGUCUGUUUGAGUACUGGAUAUAUACAGUUUUGCCACGAACUUGAGCAGGUUCUGAAGAAGAAGCAUAAUAUGAAACCAUUGAAAUUGCCUGGUUUUGAUCUGCCUGAAAAAAGGUACAUUUAUAAUAUAAGUGAGGAACAAAGAACAGCAAUUCAAUGUCCAGUCUACAGUUCACUGUUCAUUUGAAACUUCCGCUAAAUCAAUCCAAAGGGCAACACAUUUAUGCAACUAAAUAAUAAUAAUUGUGUCAUUUUCUUUUAUUACAUAGAGAACACCAUGGCUGUUAAGGCGUCACUUUAGUGUCUCCAUAGUGGUUAGCGGUUGCAUGGGUCAAGACACCCACUCUGCCUUAUAGGCAAAACCAGUGAAGAAAGGGAAAGAAGGGGGCAAGCUCAUACUGGAACCCUAGCUGGUUGUGGUCACCUUCCUCAAUCCUUACCACAGCCAGCUUGCUGUCGCAGAUCCCACACCCCUACCAUCAGAUCUAGAUCCAGAUCCCAGCUGCUGCUGCUUGCUGCAGCUCAAUCUCUGGCAGCGGCAGCGGUGGACAGAGAGGUGGGCAGAGGCAUUGACCUCUGAUGGCAGUGAUAGCUGGCAGAGGUCAGCUAUGGGGGAGGUGGCUGAAAACAGGCGGCUGCAGAUGUCGAUCUCAGCUUGCGUGCCUAGUGUUCUGCUCCUCAACUGGCUGCGCACGAUGACGUGGGGGUAUUGUCAUGAAGCUGAUGUUGGUCUUCUGUGGACUGGCAGCUUGGCCUAGUGGUUUUUUUCUCCUUCUAGCUAUUUUCUUUGCAGAUUUCUCCCUUAAUCAAGCCUCCUCCAUCUCAUAUUACACUGCCUUGUUGCACCUUGUGUGCUAUGAUGCUUAGGCAUACCCACGUUAUCUUAAACCACCUUAACACCUUAAUAACACUGAACACUUCUUUUUACAACAAGGUGAAAAAUUGCUUUAAUAAAUCAUCUUUUCUGAUACCCCAAUUCAACAUAACCAACAGGCCAACAACCUUACAAAACAAAUAACAUUGAAAUAGAAAAGUUUCAAGGAACCAAAACUGGCCAUAAAAAUCCUGAUUCCAAAAAGUGAUACUACAGCAUACAGAAUGAGGAACACAACCUUUUUAGCAAUCAACAAUCAAACAUGUAUAAAUAAAAACUUAAUGCAGAUCUCUUAUCAAUUAACAGAUAGCCCAAAGCUUGCUCACUAGAUAAGUCAUCCUUCCAACAGCAGUAUCUUCCUCGCUGUUAAUUUUAUUAUUCAGGUUAACAAAUAAGAUCAGUUUGUUUCCCUGCUCCUACGAAUAUUCGCCGUGUCAUGCCAGACAAAAUCCAAUUGCACGCAACAACAAAAGAUGCCAAAAUAAACCAUGGAAACACAAACACAAGUGCAAACACCAACAAGAGUCACGCAUUUCCAGCACAUGACAAAAAGGAUGUAUUGUUUGUAUGCAUCUCAUUGGACAGAGCCGUACUAUCUUAGUUAUUCAAACCACAUAUUAAACUAACAAUUAAACACCAAAUUCUGGAACUACCACUGCCCAAAUCAUCACAGAAGAUAAGAAUUUUUUUCCCUCUCAUACAUCAUACUCCCACAUAAUCGAGCAACAAAACGACUUGCUACCGCCAUAAACCCUAAAUCGCAACCCCCACAAAAGGACAGAUUCCUCCAAAUCCUAAUAAGCCACGUCCUCACACACAUACAGAGGAGACGAUCGCACACGCAGCCGUAAAUCCGUAAUCGAUCAGAUGGCGGGGGCAGGGGGCGGAGGAGGGAGGAAUCGGGGGGAGGGGAGGGGAGUGUCCUUACGAACUCGACGAAGGCCUGGUUGCGGUUGGCGCCGACGUUGCACAUGGUGUUGACGACCCUGCCGAAGGGCUUGCAGAGCUCGACGAGCUCCUCCUCGGUGCACUCCCACGGCAUGUUCCGGAGGUGGAGCACCUUGGACGGCGUCUGCGUGUACCGGAACUGCGUCGCCGACCCCGACGGCAUCCUCGCUGCUGCAGGCGGCGGCGGCGGCGGCUGGCCCUCCCGCCCCCCGGCUCGCUCCGUGCGCGCGCCUCGCCGGCGGGUCUCCCGCGCGCAAUAGGGCUAGGGUUUGGGUGAAGUCGAGGCUGGGAGCUAGAGAGAGAGAGAAAGCGCGGCUGGAGAUGAGAGAUUGAGAGAGAGAGAGAGAGAGAUUGGGAUUGUUGGGCUGGGUUGGGUGGUUCUAGAAGGAGACGAUGAUAGACGCGAGCGUGACCGGUGUGGGACCGUAGACGUCUAAAGGGCAAUUGCAGUGCGUCCCUUUACAUUUGCCAAACCUUACAUGCCAACUGAAUCAAGAAUGUGUUACGCUACAUCCUCCACAGUGCAAGUUACUUUUAGUGAGUCUUACUAGUAUCAUCUCUUUCACUUCUCUUCGCCCCCUCUCUCGCAUCUCUUCCUUUCCCUACCGGCAAAGGAAACAUGGCGAUGAGCGGAGGAAGCUGAGGCGUCGAGCAGACACGGCGCCAGACGGAGCAGCGGCCAGAUCCACUGGCGGUCCCCGCCGCACCACCUUUCUUCUCCUCCCACGAAGCAGCAGCGAAUCGACCGCGUCGACGCCCUGACUCCUCUGCGUGGCGGGAGCUCGAUGGCGCCACUCCUCUCUCCCCUUUCCUUGUCGGCAGCAGUGGAUCGAGCAAAAAUGAGGAAAAGCGGCGGCCAUCUCAGGCAUCGAGUCGAGCGAAGAAGCCGGGGGGGGCAGCGAGCAGUCGUAGCAGCGCCGCUCCUCUCUCUCCAUCCGUGGCCUCUUCCCUCUUCCCCCCGCGGUGGCUGUGGUGGCCUGUAGAGCCGAAGGUGGCGACUAGCCCUACGACAGCACCGCUCCUGUCUCCCCUCUUUCCCCCGAUUCCUCUCCCCGACGCGCAGCCCGAGCUAUUUCUCCCCGCACUCUGACAAAUCUAAUGAAGAACGCGUGGCCUACUUUAGCUCCAUGGUUUUCACUUGGUUACGGGAAUAGCAAAGGUGGCAUGGAAACUGUGACGUAGAAUACCGGGGUUGAAUGCCAUAUGUAUGCACUAUGAAUGACUUAAGGUUGUGUUCGGGAAUCGGGACUUUGGGACGAAAAAAUAAUAUUAAUGUAUAACUAAUUAAGUAACUUGAAAAAUUGAUUAAUAUGAUUUUUUUAAAAAGCAACUUCAUAUAGAAAUUUUUUAUAAAAAACACAUUGUUUAACCGUUUGAAAAGGGUGCGCGUGGAAAACGAGUGGUGGGUUGGGAAAGUGAACAUAAGAACUCAGCCUUACUUAAAUUCGGAAACUCCACCUCCCGCGUGGAAAACCGGUAUUAUACAUUAAUGCAUGAUUAAUUAAGUAUUAGCUUAAAAAACUUGAAAAUUGAUUAAUAUGACUUUUCAAAGGAGCUUUCCUAUAUAAACACUUUUGGAGAAAAUGCAUUGUUUAGCAAUUUUAAAAAGCGUGUGUGCGAAAAAAGAGGAAAGUGAGUUGGGAAAAAGGGGGAAGAACACAACCUUAAGUGCACGUACAACUACUAGUAAUUCAUAUGUAAGUAUGAUUGGGUUGAAUUGCAACAUUUUAGGAAGAAGGUAAUACUCCAUUCUUUUUUAAUAUACGAUGCCAUUGAUUUAUUUACAACUUUUGACCAUUUGUAUUAUUUAAAAAAUUUGUGCAUAUCUUACGAAUGUAAAUAAUGCUUAAAAGUUCAUUUAGUGAUAAAUCAAACCACAAUAAAAGAAAUGACAUUUACUUGAAAUUUUUUAAAAAGGCGAAUGGUCAACCAUGAUGUAAAAAGUCAAUGUGUUGUAUAUUAAAAAACGGAGGUAGUACUCCUUUGUAUUAUAAAAUAUCUCAUCCGAUUAUAAGUUGCUAUAUUAUGGAACAGAGGGAGUACUUGUUUUCUCAAAUUACUACAAAACUUGGGAAUUACUUCCCGUCGGGUGCCAGAUGUAGCUCCAACGAUCGGGCUCCCACCCACUACAUGCGACCAUACAGUGCAUAAGCUUAUCCCCUUAUCGUGCUCCCCCUCCAUGCUUAUUGAUAUUAAAAUAACUUUUCUCAUAAAAUAAUUGUUAGAUUUACGUUCUGAUCACAACAUCAUUGUAAUUAAAUAUUUAAAACAAGAUAUCAUAUGAUUAUAUUCGGAUGAAAGAAAAAAAAUAUUUUCAAACCAUUAAAACUCAAUGUUUCACAUGCUAUAGCAAUAUGUUUCAGCGCGUGUUUUCACUGUGUUUCACAAAAUUUACGCAACUAGCCGUCCAUACUCUCUCUCCACCCCAUCCACCUAUGCAUGCAUGUAGUGAUAUUCAAAAUAAAUUUUUAUCCUAAACUACUUAUCCGAUCUAUGAUCCGAUCAUACCGUUUAUAUUCGUAGGAACUAAAUAUUUACAAUAAGAUAUCACAUGAAUAUAUUACGAUAAAAGAAAUAUAUAUGUUUCAAACUGCUAAAACUCAUUGUAUUAUACAUGACAAUGGCAUGCUUCAACAUGUGUUUUCACUAUGUUUCGCAUUUUUUUUAUGUUUCAAUUGUUGUUUUUAUGUUUCUCCAUGUAUGACUUAAUGUUUCACCCAAUCUUCAACUGAAACAUUUUGACUGCCCGAUUUUUGAAACAUUUGUAGUACCUUUCGUAAAACUGAUGCACUCAAAAACAGUUUUAUUCAUGUAAAUUUUCAUAAAAUCAUUACGCUAGUGGCAAACAAACUCUUGGGCCAUUAGACCAUGGGCCAGAGUCUAUGGAUAAAAGCCCAUGGAGUGAUAUGCAUUUUUACUGUAUAAUUUUCUCUUGGGCCUAACACACAAUGGGUUGGCCUAGGGCCUGGCCCAAAUAUAAGUAUGCGGUUUACACCGUGAAAAGAACAUAGGAGAUGAAACCCCACACGUUGUUGCGGGAGCUUAGUAUAAUAUUAUUAGAAAUAAUUUGUAGAAUAGCUAGGUGAUGUAAGCUUAAUUAUAGAUUUUUUUUAUUGAUCAUUGGAAAAUGCUAUAAACCACUUAAGGUGAUGUGAUUUAUGAUAAUUUAAAUAGUGUCUAGAUUGAUAAUCCAAAAGUAAAUGUAAGGUGAUGUGUCUUUAUGAGAGAAAAAACGAGGGAAUAAUUUUGACCAUAGAUUAAUCAUCUAAAGGCUAUAAACAAUUGAGGUGAUGUGAUUUAAUGAGAUAAGAUAGAAAAUUUUACUAAGUGGGGCUAAAAUAUGUAGGAUAUUGUAAAGAAUGAUGAAGAGAUAUGUGUUGAAAUAUUGGGACUAUUUAGAUUAUAGGCAAAAUAAACCUUAUCAUUGCCAAAAUUUUGGCAGGAUUUCUUAUGUAUUUACCAAAUUUGGCAACAAACUAAACGUAGACAUUUUUUUUGACAACUUUAUCAAAAAAUGGUAUGGUUGAAGAGAACAGCCCCAUUGUGUAAAUUGUAUGGGAUGAUGAUUUAACUUGCUUGUAUUUUAAAGAUUUGGAAUAUAAUAAAAUAUAGAUGAUAUAUCAUGUUUGUAUGAGAAUUAGGAUGUAAUAAUUGCUAAUGGAUGAUAAUGUGGUAUCUUUGCACGUUGAGCUUUAGAAUGUAGUGGGUUGUAACUUUUAUAUACUCCCUCCGUCUCCUAAUAUAAUGGAUUUUGACUUUUUGCUUGCACUGUUUGACUAUUCGUCUUAUUCAAAAAAAUUUAGAAUUUUUUUUACUUACUUUAUUAUCCAAAGUAUUUUAAGCACAACUUUUCAUUUUUUAUAUUUGCCUAAAUUUAUUUGAAUAAGACGAGUGAUCAAAUAGUGCAAGCAAAAUGUCAAAAUCCCUUAUAAUAAGGGACAGAGGGAGUAGUAUAGAUUAGCCCUACAGUAAAGCGAAAGAAAUACACUACUUAGAUGGCUAGGAUAUUUACAUAAUAAGUCAAAAAUUUCAUAAAUUUAAGUUUUGUUUUCAAAACUUACAAAUACAAUGUAUCAAAAGGACAAUAUGUCAGUUGUGCGGUUUUAUAGAGCUCUAGAACCAUGAUAUACUUCGAGUUAUAUGCCAUGUGCCAAACCUCUGUUGUGACUAGAAUACUGUAGUGAUAAGAGAGAAUUUUGCACACUUUGAUUACAAAGCAUAUGCUUUUUUCCAGGUAUAUGUAGUUUUACAUCACUAACAAUAAAUGGAUAUACUCAUAUUCUUUUAUCGGAUUUGCUCGACAGAAAAUUAGGGAAGAUUUCUUAAAGAAUUUUUACACUCUGGUCCACUCCAAGGUUCGUGCUUUUUGACCUUCUCCUUGUAUACAAGGAUAUACCCGUUUUGGUUUUAAAAAGAAGUUAUUAAUACAACUAUGCUGAUAUAACAUAGUCUUAGAAGCUAGCCUUAUUAUAUUCUACGUUACCGUAUAAAAAAUUGUUUACAAAUAAACUACAAAUUAGGUACUAUUCUCAACAAGGAAAGAAAAAAAAUAUUAUCAACCAUUAUAAUAUUAUCUAAUACAUAUUUAACAUAUAUAAAUGGCAACAAAAGCAACCUGUCGAUGUUUGAGAUCGCGACUACGGUAUUUGGAUGGUAUGGGGAUCGUUAGUACUAGGGUAUAUGCGAGAUUAAGGUAAAAGAGAUGGAGAAAGGAAUCCUAUAUACCUAUACAAACCAUCCCCACUAAGUGCAAUUAAAACUAUUUUCCUGCUCUGAGAGUAAGCCACGUCGGUUCUAUUCAUCCUAGCCAUCGGAUUGCUGACUAACGUUUGGAUAGCAAUCAUUAGCAGGGCAACUCAAUGCUCAUGCCAGUUACAGAUCAAACAGGCCCACUAGAAGUUCACCAUUUACUCCGUCCUGGCAAAUCUUCCUAUGUUGAGCCGAAGCGUUAGAGGCACCCACCAUGGCGCACACAGAUAUUGUACAUCUUCCACUUAUAUCUUUUAAUUACCUAUGUAACUGCUGUUUUAGGUGAGUAGUCGGCGUUACCGCGUUGGUGAAUUUUUAUUUCAGUUUGUCUCCUGGGAUGAUUUAUAUGCUUGCUUACCAAAACGAAUGUAGCAGCUGCAGUUCGAUUGUCUUUGGCAGUCCUGCAAAUGGAUGCUGAUCAACAUACCACAUGUCUCUUUCAAUCUAUUGUCAUCUCUUUUGCAUGUUGGUGAGCAUUUCUUUUCUUUUCUAUUUUCUUUCAUUGGUUAAUUUGUACUCUGAGCUGCCAGUUCAGUUUUCCAGAGCAGUACCACCUAAUGUCAUGCUUUUGCUAAUACUGUUGCAGGCUCCUGGUAUUAUUGGACAUAUAAUUGUUUUAUUUCUUGCAGAUUACAAACAACCAUGUCUUAUGCGGUUAGUAGCAAGCGUUUAAAUUUUCAUUCAUGAAGAAUCAUUACCUAUAAUUAAUUUGAAAUUUUCUUUAUACAGUGAUUGAGCUAGCUACUAAAUGAAUCACUCUCACCUACCUAUGGAUGCUACUGCACCGCAAAUGAUUUGCAGGUUGCCAAUACCACAAGAGGAAAUUACAAGGGGGUGAUGCAUUAUACUAUAUAAUAAAAGUACGCUAUGUGAUUGUUCUUCUCUAUGUCUAUGUUAUUCGGUUUUCAAUUGUCUCCACACAUAGUUGAUUAGUAUUAUAUUUUGUUUUUGUGUUUUAGUAAUGUAUAGACAUGUUCAUCAUAUCCACACGAACCGCACCAAUCUGUAUAUUCACCUGACUUUAGGAAGUUUCUGCUCCAUAAAACACUACAACUUGGAGUUAACAUAUUUAAGUAAGCACUAACCUUAGAGUAUUUUAUUACCAUUUUUUUCCUGCUAAUAUGAUUAAUGUCCAUGUACAACUGUUGUUUGUUCCAAAUAGGUAGGAAAUUAAAUUGUCUUUUAUUUAACACCAAAUAGAUUAAACAACAGUUCUGUUUCAAUUCAAAAUGCAUUUGCUAAUUACUAUCCUAUAAGUUGGCAAUAUAAUUUAUUGUAUGAUCUCAAAUCAUAAACAAAGUGUUUAGCACAUUAUAUGCUAUUCUUUCGACAUGAUUGUUCAUACCAAAUUUUCAUAUCUCCUAUUUCUCUUAAAUCUCCGCAGCAACGCGCGGGGUGUCAUCUAGUUUUUAUACAGGUUCGAGCCCCUUAUCUGACAGGUAAUAGCCCUACAUCCUGUUUAUAUGGGAUUGAUAUAGAGAACCAUCUCGGCGGGUACACCAUCGCUUCAUUCCAUAUUCCUUUCGAGAUCCAUCAACCGUUCUCGAGUAAUCAAGUAGGCGUAGAGUCUGCGACAAAGCCUUGAAAUCUGACUUGAUUGUUCUGAUGUCUGAUUUUCCUGAAAUCAAUACUCAGAACAUUUGCCGUACUCGCUUAGUCAAUCCCGAUGUAGAACCGUAGAGAAAUGGAGUCUUCGACAAUGUUUAAUAGAACUUUCCUGAAAUCAAUACUCAAAAUAGAAUAUUAAAUAGAAAUAGCCCUCGAGCGAGCGCUCAAGGGUAACAUGAUACAAUAUGUAUGGAAAAAUUGAAAAUAAAUUGAAUCUGCAUGAGACAAUAAAAGAGUAUGCUCGCUAGAGUUGCCCUCAGCGAAUGCAGUUUGGUACUCUUCCUUGCCCCCAAUUGUUUUUAUGGAAAAGCCAUUUUCCACAAAGACAGCUCGAAUCUUAUAACAAACCAUGCUGAAGCUGACAAAUCCUAGCCCCCAGCCGUGAAGUUGGAAAAAUCAAUUUCCGAUUACACGGCUUGGUUAAUACGCAUCAAUUGAGAACUCUUACAUGACCAGGUUUGACAUGGCCGUUCGGCUCUCAUAUUCCAAUAAGACAUUAUCUGCUCUGGGUGUCCCCAGCUGAAAUUCCCUUAGGUUUCUCGGAGGCUUGUCAGAAUAGCGUAAAGGGACAAUAGGAACGACUUCAAGACGAGGUGAUAUAAGAAAAGAGGAUCACCGGACAAAUAUUGCACAUAUAAACACUUACAGAAGUUGAUGUAGAUGAUGAGACGACCACCACACUGGGCAAAUGCCAGGUGUAUAGUUGUACUCAACAAAUCGCAAAAGUAGUGGGAGAAUCGCUACACCGCUGGUCGAAGACAAGUUAUAGUCAUAACUCGACCACUUAAAGUGGAAGUAUGAGAGAUCGCUACGACCUACUGGUUCGAGAACCAGGAGUAGGAGUCUCUCAACCGUUUGAAAUUGAGGUGCGAGGACCGCUAAGCUGCUAGUCGAGGACCAGUCGUAGUCGUAACUCGACCUUUAGAAGACGUGGUACGAGGAUCGCUACGCUGCUGGUGGAAGACCAAUUAGUCGUAACUCGACCAUUAGAAGUCGUAGUACGAGGAUUGCUACGCUGCUGGUGGAAGACCAAUUAGUCGUAACUCGACCAUUAAAAGUCGUGGUACGAGGAUCACUACGCUGCUGGUGGAAGACCAGUCGUAGUCGUAACUCGACCAUUAGAAGUCGUAGUACGAGGAUCGCUACAUUGCUGGUAGAGAACCAGCCGUAGUAGUACCUCGACCACUUGAAGGAAAUCUAGAAUAAUAGAUGGACGACAUUCUCGUGACCUGUGAGAACUGCCUCCUGAUGACGACGAAUGCAAUGAGGAAUUAUUGUAGUCGGGGGUUCCGCUUCUAGACCUACUACCUCAUCCUCGGGCCCUCUAGAAGUCUGGGGAUCUCGAGUUUUGUCGUCAUCACGUGAUGUCGUGAUGUCGUUAACCUUGUCCAUUGUCGUCCUGAUGUCAUUAGUCCUAGACGUUGUCGUCCUGGUGACAACGACGAUCUAGUCGGUCUUGGUUGUCACUAUCAUGACAAUGUUGAUUGUCGUUAGAUGUCGAGAAAUUGCUGUAACCGACUGGUCGAGGACCAGGAGUAGGCGUAUCUCGAUCACCUGAAGAUGAAUUUUAGGUGGUGAGAGAUCUCUAUGAUCUACUGGUCGAGGACUCAGUGUAGGUGUACCUCGAUCACCUAUAGGCAACUGAUAGGCAUACGGAAACAAACCGUAUUCGCGAAAGCAUCUCUUGUUAUCCGCGACUCCCAUUAUCAAUAUUCGUCGUACUCACUUGGUCGAUCCCGGUGUAAGACCGUAGAGAUAUGGAGUUUUCGACAACGAUAGAUGGAGUUCAACGGUCCACAAGUGAAUUUAGAUUGAUAGGCGGCGAGAUGUCGCUACAACUGUCUGGUCGAUUAACCAGGAGUAGGCAUCUCUUAAUCACCUAUAGGGGCGCUAGAGUUGGUUAUUACAUGUGCAUCUCAUGUGGCCAACAUGACUCACAUACCCAACCUAUAGCAUAUCCGGAUGUUUGUUCGCAAUCAUGUCAGGUGAUCAAGCCGACAACGUUCAUGAGGAAUUAGCUGUUAACAACCUUCUCUCAGAUAGUCCAGCCGUAGCCAGCGCUAUACAUGAGAUAAGUCGUCGGUUUUUGUUGGUAGGUUGGGUGCGACAACUCAGCAUUUUUCGAGAAUGUUCUCGAUAAUGCGGUGUACUCGACCACAUCCUACUCGAGUGCUCAAUUGUUCCUGAAAAAUAUUUUCUAGAAGACAAGUUAUAUGCAGAGAAUAUCGAGCAUGUACUCAAAAGACUGCAUGAAUCUUCUAGUAUUAUCAGGAUAUAAUGAGCAGAUUAAAUAUUAGGCAUUAUGUAAACCGUAAACAAGCAUGAUCUAUACAGAAGAAAACAGAGCGAGCCCCCAGCAU